rnacentral:rRNA from 1 species
UCUUGGUCACUUAGAGGAAGUAUAAGUCAUAACGAGGUUGUCGAAGUUGAACCUGCGUAAGGAUCGGUGCAGAGUUCAAAGGAUCACGGCUAGAUCUACCCCCCGAGAAUAUCUUAAACCUUUAAUCCUUUGGUGGGCCGCUUCGGUUACCUGGUUGGGUUGUCGAGCCAGAGGCAGAGGCAAACAUCCUGUGAAUUAGAGGGUGUUUGGAGUACUAUAAAAUAAUUAAAACUUUCAACAACGGAUCUCUUGGUUCUGGCAUCGAUGAAGAACGCAGCGAAAUGCGAUAAGUAAUGUGAAUUGCAGAAUUCAGUGAAUCAUCGAAUCUUUGAACGCACAUUGCGCCCCUUGGUAUUCCGAGGGGCAUGCCUGUUCGAGCGUCAUUAUAACCCUCCAACCUGGGCUGGGGUUGGGGGCCUUCCGCAAGGGCAGCCCCUAAAAUCAGUGGCGGGGCCAUCUGCGUCUAAAAGUAGUAAAUCAUCUCUCGAUAGAGUCCCGGGGGACCGUCCCAGGAACACCAAUUGCAUGGUGACCUCUCUCUC